UACGUAGGGGGCAAGCGUUGUCCGGAUUUAUUGGGCGUAAAGCGCUCGCAGGUGGUUCGAUGCGUCGUGCGUGAAAGACCCCGGCUCAACUGGGGAGUGUCGUGCGAUACGGUCGGACUGGAGGCCAGUAGGGGGAUGCGGAAUUCCUGGUGUAGCGGUGAAAUGCGCAGAUAUCAGGAAGAACACCCGUGGCUAAGGCGGUUCUCUAGUACGGUACUGACGCUGAGACGCGAAAGCGUGGGGAGCGAACAGG
rnacentral:rRNA from 1 species